UUGGGUCAGCUCCAGAGCAUGCUGCUCUCAGUAUGAGACCUGCAACAGUGCUACACCCAGGGAGAUCUGAGUGGCCCCACAGCUCUAGCUGUCCAUUUCCACUGGGAAGGCCAGUGGAAAGUGUUUCAAAAGUGACAACUUCUAAUUGUUCUACAUCAGGCCAGAAGCAUUCUAUGCGAUCACAAUGGCACCAACACAGGUUUCAAAAUAUUCUUUGUAUUCUUAAGAACCCGUUUUAAUCAAAUUUAGAAUACAGCACCAAUAAUUUUCUUGUCAUGGUGUUAAUAUACUGUGUCACUUCAGAUGUUCUUACAUGUUUCAAAAGGCAAAUGCUAGCAGAGAUUUGACACUAUGAAUACUCAAAACAUGAUGUUGAAAAAGAACAGCAGAAGCCUGUUUACCCCAGACGCUGCUGGGGAGGCCACCAGAGCAGUGCUCUGUCGUCCUGAGCUGACCAAACAGGCAGCGAGCACUUCCUGUGAGGAGCCAUGUGACUGUGCGCAUGACUUACUCCACACCCACCCCCGAUCUCUCUGCAAAGCUGCACACCAUCUAGGAGGAAAUAAUAGUUGGGGUGGAGUCCAUAACCAGAACAUGACACUAGACAUCAGGGAAGGGAAGUGCCUUAGCAAGAACCACACUGUUCUGGGCAGAAACCUCAGGCUUUGAAGAAAUACAGCUGUCUGGUCGCCAGCAAGUCCCCCAGGAGGACAGCCACAGUGCACAAUGUCAGUUACCAAGUUGGCAGUCCGAUCAACACGGCUGGUGUACGUGCUCCUCUAAGUGGAUUAUCAGUCAUUCGCGCAUCUGAUAACACAGGUACUGACCGCCUUCAAGGGGACAGGACUGUGCCAGCUGCUAGAGAUACAAGGAAAAGAAGAGAAAGCAUCUGACCUUAGAGGAAACUUCGUGAGGAGGAGAUGAAGGAGCCCAGGCUGCACAGACGGAAGACCUCGAAGAGGUGACAGCUGCGAAAAACUCAUGACUACCUGAACAUCCCCCCAUCAACGGUUCAACUUGGUCUGCACAGGCCUGGCCCAAGUGAUCAUUUGAAAGCAAAGGAGACUAUGGAGGUGAUGAAAACAUACAACAUUAAAUAAAUAUGUCUCUACUCUU